UACGGAGGGUGCAAGCGUUGUUCGGAUUUAUUGGGCGUAAAGCGCGUGUAGGCGGUUUCUUAAGUCUGAUGUGAAAGCCCUGGGCUCAACCCAGGAAGUGCAUUGGAUACUGGGAAACUUGAAUACGGGAGAGGGUAGUGGAAUUCCUAGUGUAGGAGUGAAAUGCGUAGAGAUCGGCAGGAACACCCAGGGGGAAACCAGUCGACUGGGCAUCUACUGACGCUGAGGUGCGAGAGCGUGGGGAGCGAACCGG
rnacentral:rRNA from 1 species